rnacentral:rRNA from 1 species
GACGAACGCUGGCGGCGUGCUUAACACAUGCAAGUGGAGCGACGAACCAGGGCUUGCCCUGGGGCAGAGCCGCGAACGGGUGAGUAACACGUGGGUAACCUGCCCCGAUGACCGGGACAACCCGAGGAAACUCGGGCUAAUACCGGAUGUGUUCACCUCACAUCAGUGAGAUGAGGAAAGGAAGCUUCGGCCUCCGCAUCGGGAUGGGCCCGCGGCCCAUUAGCUUGUUGGUGGGGUAACGGCCUACCAAGGCGACGAUGGGUAGCUGUUCUGAGAGGAAGAUCAGCCACACUGGGACUGAGACACGGCCCAGACUCCUACGGGAGGCAGCAGUGGGGAAUCUUGCGCAAUGCGCGAAAGCGUGACGCAGCAACGCCGCGUGCGGGAAGACGGCCUUCGGGUUGUAAACCGCUUUCAGUUGGGACGAAGCUUCGCCGGUGAAUAGCCGGCCGGAGUGACGGUACCUUCAGAAGAAGCCCCGGCUAACUACGUGCCAGCCGCCGCGGUAAAAC